GAGAGCCGUGGUUCAAAAACCUCCAUAAACGAUGCAGCAGAUAACAGCAAGAAAAACCACAACACAGCUUCAAAGCUGAGAGAAACAAAGCAAAUCAGACUCCAGAAAACACACAAUGAAUACAUGUUCUUUAUAUUUGCUUGUAUUUUUUUCAUAAUAAAGUUUACAAUUUUUUCAGACGGUGAAUGAGGAAGAGAGUCAACCAACAGAUGGAGGCACAGCACAUGUAUUACAGCUGCUGUCAUGAGGAUGUGGUGAUGAAUUUACAGACACACACACACAAACAGACACACAGCCGUAUUCUUCUCAGAGAAGCCUUUUCCUCACAUCAUUUCUUCGCGAUGCCUUCACCUGCGCAAACAUUUGGUUUGCUCUUCAUCGGUUUUUAUUGUCAGGUGAGCGCUGUUACUUUUCAACAGUCUCCUCCACAGAUAGUGAAGGAGAACACUGUGGUCCAGAUCGACUGCAGUCACAAUGAUAAUAACCUUCAAGUUAUGCUCUGGUAUCAGCAGACACAGGACCGUCUGUCUUUGAACCUCAUUGGGUACGGAUAUGCAAUCGGCUCACAAAGCUAUGAGACUCAGUUCAAAGAACAAUUCAAGCUGAGCAAAGAAAGCACCACAACAGGAUCGCUCGUUAUUAACACGGCAAACCUGUCACACACUGCUGUUUAUUUCUGCGCUGCCAGUACACAGUGAUGUGGUUCAAUGAGACUCCCUGACUAAAAACCCUGAUGGUUUUACUGGGCAUGAGAUUUGUGCAUCUGCAUGAUAAGCCACU